GGCAAGAUGGCCGAGCGGUCUAAGGCGUGUGACUCAAGCGUAGCUUGCCUGCAUUCGUAGGUCUUCUCAUCUUCGUAUGAAGGCGGGGGUUCGAAUCCCCUUCUUGUCA